UUAUUAAAUUAACUUUUUACUCCGACGUAAGAAUGCAGUGUUUUGAUUACCUCCGGGGGGGAUGCCGCGAACGGCAGGGUCGCCCCCGAAGCAACAUGAUGCGUUCACAAAGGGUUGGAGGUCGGGAUUGCUCCCUCACUCAGUAAUGAUCCCUCCGCAGGUUCACCUACGGAGA
rnacentral:misc_RNA from 1 species